rnacentral:misc_RNA from 1 species
CCCCCCCCCCCCCCCCGCCAUUCUCUCCCCUCUUCCACAGCCACCAUCGCUCCUCCUUCCCCCGCCCAUCAUUCUCCUCCUGAGCGCCACGUCUCCAUCCCUCUUCAUUUCUAUCAGGUGUUAGGAGCUGAGACACAUUUCCUUGGAGACGGUAUAAAGAGAGCUUAUGAAGCUAGGAUUUCUAAGCCGCCUCAGUUGGGCUUCAGUCAAGAUGCAUUGAUUAGUCGUCGGCAGNNNNNNNNNNAGCGGAUCCAAAAUCAAGAAGAGAAUAUAAUCAAGGCUUGAUCGAUGACGAGCAGGAU